rnacentral:pre_miRNA from 1 species
CUUGUACUCCCUCCGUCUGAAAAUACUUGUCAUUGAAAUGGAUGUAUCUAGAUGUAUUUUAGUUCUAGACACAUCCAUUUUGAUGACAAGUAAUUCCGAACGGAGGGAGUACUUG